CAGCAGCCACGGGAAUACGAGGGGGGCAAGCGUUGUUCGGAAUUAUUGGGCGUAAAGGGUGCGUAGGCGGUUUGACAAGUCUUAUGUGAAAUCUCUGGGCUCAACCCAGAGUCUGCAUGGGAAACUGUCGGGCUUGAGUAUGGGAGAGGUGAGUGGAAUUUCCGGUGUAGCGGUGAAAUGCGUAGAUAUCGGAAGGAACACCUGUGGCGAAAGCGGCUCACUGGACCAUAACUGACGCUGAUGCACGAAAGCUAGGGGAGCAAACAGGAUUAGAUACCCCUGUAGUCCCUGUCUCUUAUAU
rnacentral:rRNA from 1 species